UGACUUCUGGAGGUCAGCCUGGCAUCUGCACUGCUCGGGGGGGGGGGGAAUUUCCCUGUUGCCCCCUGGAUCCACCCCUAGGGUGUGCUGACCCUUGCGAUUUCCCCAAAUGCGGGAAACUCGACUUCAUAAUUGAUGGUAGUGGGGGACUGCGUUCGCACUUUCCCCUG
rnacentral:snRNA from 1 species